rnacentral:misc_RNA from 1 species
AGCAGCCGCGGUAAUUCCAGCUCCAAUAGCGUAUAUUAAAGUUGUUGCAGUUAAAAAGCUCGUAGUUGAAUUUCGGGAUCAAUAUGUUGGUCGUGCCUCGGUACGUACUAGCUUAUUGGUUUCUCCUUUCUGAAGAACCAUGAUGUCAUUUAUUUGGUGUCGUGGGGAAUCAGGACUGUUACUUUGAAAAAAUUAGAGUGUUUAAAGCAGGCUCACGCUUGAAUACAUUAGCAUGGAAUAAUGAAAUAGGACAUUUGAUUCUAUUUUGUUGGUUUCUAGGAUCGACGUAAUGAUUAAUAGGGAUAGUUGGGGGCAUUAGUAUUCAAUUGUCAGAGGUGAAAUUCUUGGAUUUAUUGAAGACUAACUACUGCGAAAGCAUUUGCCAAGGAUGUUUUCAUUAAUCAAGAACGAAAGUUAGGGGAUCGAAGACGAUCAGAUACCGUCGUAGUCUUAACCAUAAACUAUGCUGACUAGGGAUCGGAUGAUGUUAAUUUUUUAAUGACUCAUUC